rnacentral:lncRNA from 1 species
GUUGCAUCUUGUAUCUAUAAAAUGAGCUGCUCGUACUGCAGUGUUUUUUGAAAGAUAUUAGCCAUGGGUGUUAGCCAUGGAGAACAGAAAAUAUUUUGCUAAUGCUCUCAAUAACAUUGCUGCCCUGAAUUAUCAGGCGCUAUCGACAAAGGUCAGUGGGAUAAAGUUGUGAUGGACUACUUUCUGGACGAUGAUCAUGCCAUUCAAUGCUGACUCUCUCAUUUCAUAACAUGUUUUGAAAUCAGUGGAACACAACGGGCCAAACAAGCUGUGCAAACUAAACAGAAACAACACAGGAGGUCUACAAAAAAUGGCUUGCAGUCUGUCGUGAAGCUUUCAUCCAUGUAUACAGCAUCAAUUAGUAGAACUAGCCUGACUCUAAUCCACCAGCCAUACAGUCAUCAAAAAGAGAGCUGGCCAAAGCAAGCAAAGGCAGCAACACAGUCAUCAACUACAUGCACCAUUUCUUCAACUAUAGAGUUGUGAAAACACGUGUGGACCUGAAUUGUGAUAACUGCAGUGGCCAAAAAAGGACAAGUUUGUGCUCUGGUAUUGUGCCUGGUGGACCAUGCACAAGCUCCACCACAAUCUGGCCCUUCACUUCCUGAUCACAGGCCACACCAAGUUUGCCCCUGACUUGUGCUUUGGCCUCAUCAAGCAGUGCUUCCGAGUGAACACUUUGUCUGAGAUUGCUGGUAUUGUGAAGAACAGCACUGUGACAGGGGUCAACAUCCCACAGCUGGUUGGACUGGAGGAUGGUACGGUGCUGGUGGAAAGCUAUGGCUGGCAACAACACCUGACUCCGUAAUUCAGGCCACUCCCACAGAUCAAGCAGUACCAGCACUUCAGCUUCGAUGCUCUGAAGCCUGGUGUUCUCGCCAAGGAGCGUUCGGACUGUCGGGACCAGGUUUCAGCUGCUGCGCAUUUGCUGACAUCCUUCCUCCCAUAGAUGGUCUGCCUGUAAAAGCACAACCUGGACUGGACACAGCUAGACAAACUAUCUUUUUGACAAGAUCAGGGAGUUUUGCGACAAAGAGGCUAUGGACACCACAUGCCCUGCACCAAAGUCAACGGCAAGACGGAAACAGGCUCUCCGAAUAUAGAUUCCCUUGUUCAUGCGUGGUUUGGACAGACCAGUCAUCAGCACUAUCUGCGGUGCCUCUAUUCACAUAACUCUCUCCUGACACACACGCCAUAAGUUGCUGCUAUUUUUUUUUAUCCUGCUGCUCAGCCACUUUACCUCUGAUUGUAUGUAUAUAACUACCUUGUCUAUCACUGACAUCGUUAGUGUUCUUGUACAUACUGUAUAUUUUAUUUAUAUUGACACUAUCUAUUUCUGAUAUUGCUACUAUGCAAGUAACCAUUUGGCUGUACCGUUUACACCUUCCGUUGAGACCAUCCUGUCAAGUGUCAGUUGUGCAGAGGUGAGAACAGAGUCAAGCGCAGGACACAGAACUGAGUAAAAUAACGUACUUUACUCAGAAAAAGAAUCAGCCAAUAAAUCCACGCAGGGAUAACAAACCCUAACACAAAAGACUAACACAAAACCAAGAAACAAUCACACACAAAACAUAAUGAGAACCAGAGAGUUAAAUAGGGAAAUAAUAAUAACGUAACGGGAACCAGGUGUGAACAACCAAGACAUAACAAAUGGAAAAAGAAACGUGGAUCGGUGGCAGCUAGAAAGCCAGGCGACGACGACGACCGCCGAACGCCACCCGAACAAGGAGAGGCACCAACUUCGGCGGCAGUCGUGACACAUCCACUUAGCAAGACUUAGCAAAAUAUUGAUAUGUGCGGUCGUAACAUGAUUUUGUGACAUACCACAACAAUAUCAUGUGACCGUAUCAAGUGUCCACCACUUAAAUAUAUGGAGCGUACAUCUGUUUAUGUACUGUACAUGUGCACCUCACUCAGGUUUCAACUCAGGUUGCAUGGCCUUAACUUAUGUAUGGAAUACUAGGUGAUAAGCGCAUGUGUAACAGUAUAUAAAGUAUACUAUUGUACUGGUGUGAAUGCAUUUGAGCAGUGAUGUAAAGUACUUCUUACAUUUUGACAGGAAAAUUGUCCAAUUCAAACACUUAUCAAGAGAACAUCCC